ACCAGACCCAAUAUGUUAACCGUUUAUCAUUAUCCCCCAGAGCCAUGGAUGGCUCUAUUUUUUUUUGGAAAUACUUGUGCCUCUCCCCAAGGAUCAUCUGGGCCCAGAAUCCUAUGGGAAGUACUUUGCGUGGAGAUUCCUGUUGAAAAAAUGUCCUGGGUGAUCGGUCCCAUUGGCAUCCACCCACCCCCCAUUUGUGAAUGAGAAAAAAUUAUUCACUUAUUUAAGUCUCGGUUUUUCAAUAAGGGUAAAUACCCGAUGGAGGCCAUAAACCUAACUCAACAUCUUAUCUGGGCAGGAUUCCUUUCUGCUUGUCUCAAAUGGGACUGUGUGCUCCUCCAAUAAUUAACUGAAAAAUAUCUUGAAAGUUACCUGCAGGUGGUCACAUUCUCUUACUAUAUCUAAUUUUCCCAG
rnacentral:lncRNA from 1 species